GCAGGUAUAGUAUAUUGGUUUGAUUAUAACGCGUUGCCAACGCGUUGAGACGGGUUCGAUUCCCGUUACCUGCUCCA
rnacentral:tRNA from 1 species